UAAUAUAAAUGUAGACGUAAUUCAUGUAAAUAGAGAUAAAGUGGAAAAUUGAAAUUAUCAAAAUAUCAAAACAAUUCAUAAGUCAUAAGUAUAACACAAAAUAAAUAAUUGAAUUCAUUGUCUGAAAAUGUCAAAAGAAAAAAGUUAUGAAAUGUGCGUCAUUUUGUAUGUAGUAUUAACUUAUAAUAAAAUAGGAGUGGAAUGUGAAAUCUCUUUUAAAAAUUAGUAAAAAAUAAAUGAAUAUGUAUUAGUAGACAAACCUAUAUAAAAUAUGAGACGAAUAAUUACAAAAAAAUUAAUAAAUAAUUUGAUUAAUACAAUAGAUUAUUAUACAAAUAAAAUAAUAAAACUUUAAAUAGUACAAUUUGAAUCUCGAAACGUUUAUAUAGUAGAAGAACAAAUAUUAAUUUAUUCCUAAAAUUAUAUAGACUAUUAGUGACUUAAACGCACUCAAGCAGAAAAAUUCUCAAUGUCUUCUUUAUUAGUACUACUCAUUUUCCACCAUUAAAUUAUACUCCUUGUUUGGAUUGACAAUAUAUAUCAAUGUAAAUAUAUUGGAUUUAGUUUAACUAAUCAAAAAUUUGGAAAAAUAAUAUUUAUUGCUGCCUAAAAAAGUGAGAUAAACUAUGUCAAUUUUUAAUAUUUUCCUAAUCCCACUAAACAAAUGAAUAGUGACAAAUGAUGAACUCUAUUCCCAAGGUUAUGACUCAUAAUUAUACUCCUCUUUCCUCUCUCCUCUCUCCUCUCUCUUCUCCAUCAUCUUCCUUCAAUCUCUGUAAAAUACAGCGCAAAAACACUGUAGCCGAAACGCUCGACCCACCCGAAACGCUCGACCCCGCCGACCCAACCGACCCAGCGCGACCCAUGCAUCUCGAUCAACCCAUCCAUGUUGGGGCGGUGAUGGUCUCGACCCGGGCGACCUGGGCGACCCGAGCGACCCGAACGCCAAAUUAACAACACUGAUCCUUGAUGUACUUGGUGCCGAUAAAGGGGCUGCUAUAUUCCUUGUUCCUUUCCUGCUACAAAUCCUCUCUUUUAGGAUUUUGCAGCAAUCUUUAACUGAAAUCUGGUGGUGUACUAGGAAAAUAGGACUCUUGAAAAUGUGUUGAUUGUUGGUAUUGCAGAAUGUACAAUCAAAGGCUGCAGAUAGGACUCUUGAAAAUGUGUUGAUUGUUGGUAUUGCAGAAUGUACAAUCAAAGGCUGCAGAGAUCGGUUGGGGUUUAGGAGUGCUGCAGGCUGUCCCUUGCUCCUUUGGGAUUGUUUGGCCUCUUUUCACUAAAGUCUCGGUUGAGGUGGAAGACAAUGCAGGAGCUCACUUGCCACCCUAAACCCUAAACCCUCUAGGCAAGAUUUGCUUUUCAUCCUUGAAAGUUGGGAAAUGAUUCGGCCGUCCUGCUGUUGUUCUGCGAAGUGGGCCCGCUGCUCUGGGUCGACAGUUCAUUUGGGCCCGGCCCGCAGGGGUGUGGUAUUGGGCUGGUGAAUAAAAGAUUCAAGGCGUUUUCCUUUUUGAUAUUCCUAUGUAUUAUUUUUUUAUUAUUUUUUUUGAAGCUAAGUCAUAGCUUCCAAGGAAUGAACAAACACGUAUUCAGUUUUUUUUAUUCGAACCUUGCUCAUUUCCUUCAUUUCUAGAUCGAAAUUAGUCAUUAA